AGCAAAUCAAACGUAAACCUUAAAUAAUGCACCCAAGUGUCAAGUUUUAGGAAGCUUGCUGAUCUUCUUCGUUUCAAAUCUUCUUCUCUACGUCCAAUCGAGAAGGUAUGGCACACCAAGGACAAUCAUCAAAUGGCAAAGAGGUAUUUAUUUACUAAAUAAAUUAUUUUAAUUAACUGAUUAUAUAGUUUAAUUGACUAACUUAUGUAUGAUAUUACAAUUAAAGGGAAAAAUACUAUGGAACGAUAGCAAGGUCCAUAUAUUUCUUGAAAUAUAUGAAAAUGAAAUGGAAAAAAUAAAUUGGCGUACCGGUCUUUUGAAAAAAAAGAGUAAAACGAGAAUUAGAAACGAAUUUCAAGAAGCAACAGGUCAAAAUCCAGAAUGGCUUCCAUUUAAAAAUAUAUUCUAUUCUAUAAAAAAUUGUAUGACAUUUAUCGCCGAUUGGGCCGUAUGACUGGGGUUUCAUUUCACGAGACCACAAAAUCUAUUCAAAUGGAUGAUGAAUGGUAGAAUGAUCGUAUUCAGGAAAUACCUGAUGCUGCAAAGCUCCGUGCACACCCCCUCACUGAUAUCGACAGAUUGGAUAGACUUUUUCGAGGCAAACACAUUUCAACCGAUGAUGGAUACUAUCCAGGUUCUGGAGUGGAUCAGAAUACCGAGUCUGAGACUGUUACCGAGAAUGAACACGACACUGUGAAUCUAGAAGAUGAUUCUGAUGCGCCUUCAAGAAACCAAAACGAAACACCGUCUUCCUACAACCAGAGUUCCAAACGGGUGUACGAAAACACUUCGCGUAGUUCAUCUUCAGCACGUAAACGAGGAACAUCAAAGGUUUCGUAUGACUUCGUGACAAAUGAAGCCUAUAUGAAACGAACAGAACUUUAUGAACGAGCCCAAGAUAGCAAGCUUGAACGUGCAAUUGCCUCAUUACAAACACUACCAGGUCUUCAGUAUGACUCUUCGUUAUAUUGGGGAGCAGUGAGAGUGCUUCAAAGUAAUGAGACACAUGCAUGUGUUUAUCUUACACUACCCGAUGAUGAUGCUAGAAUUAAAUAUCUCGAAAGAAUGACAGGAAUCGACCGAGAGGCUGAAUAAGAAAAUUAAAAAAAAUAAUGAAUAAUUUUUUUGUCGUAUUUUAUUUCAUGUUUAAUUUUGAAUAACAAUUUCUUGUUUUUUAUUUUUUUUAUUUAUCAAAUAAUAUUUAUUUAUUUUAAUAUAUUACUUUUUGUUUUUUUUGGUUAGAAAGAAGCAUUUUACCGAAUGCUUGAAGAUGAUGAAGCAGAAGAUGGAAGCAUUCAUUUUGGAGAAUCCUUCGUCGAUCCUUACUCUGUGAGUAUAGAAAGGCAACACAUGAACCUGGAUCCAGAACGCGGUCAAAGAUAUGUAAAUGAAUUACUUCACGGCCACGACGUACAAUGCUAUAACAUAAUUUGAAUGUAUCCGCCGGUAUACAUUCAGUUAUGUGAAAAGCUUAAGGAUGAUUAUCAGUUGAAGGAGACUGAUAAUGUAAGCAUCGAGGAAAGUGUUGCGAUAUUUCUUAACAUAUGUGCUCAAAAUGCAACUCAGAGGUAUCUUGGGAAGAUAUUUGGUCAUUCACAGGAAACUAUAAGUAGGAAAUUCCAUGAAGUGUUGAGUGCUCUCGAAAAAAUGGCGGUUGAUUUGCUUAAACCUGGUCCAAAUGAGCUCACACAACCUCAUCCUAAAUUACAAUCCAAUAGAAAUUAUUGGCCUUACUUUAAAGGAUUUAUUGGUGCAAUUGAUGGAACACAUGUUCCUGUCACUAUCGCGGGAAAAGAUUCAGAAAAAUAUUGGAACAGGAAAAGUGACACCAGUAUAAAUGUUUUAGCUAUAUGCAAUAUGGACAUGUUGUUUACAUAUGCAUAUAUAGGUAUUCCGGGAUCAGCUCAUGAUGCAAAAGUUUUAGCAGUAGCAAUGGAGGGGCCUCAUCAAUUUCCAACUGCACCUUUUGGAAAGUAUUAUUUAGGAGAUUCUGGUUAUCCUCUUCGACCUGGAUUUCUUACUCCGUAUAGAGGGGAAAGAUAUCAUCCUAGCCAAUACGAUGGAGCUAGUCCGCCCAGUAGUUAUAAAGAAAUGUUUAACAAACAACAUUCUUCGCUGCGAUCUGUUAUUGAAAGGACUUUUGGUGUGUUGAAAGGAAAAUGACGGGUUUUAAGAGAGAAGCCAAGAUACAACAUACAUGUUCAAAGAAGAGUUGUUGCAGCUACAAUGGCUCUACAUAAUUUUACCAGGCUAUCAAAUUUAGGAGAUGUUGAUUUUGAUUCGGACUAUCCAACUGGUAAUGUACCAACUGAAAACUCUGAUUCAGAUGAAGACGAAGAACAUAAUAAUACUCAUGUGCACUAUAUGGAAGGCAUUCGAGAUCAAAUUUCUGCAUCUUUAUGGGAUUCAAGAUAAUUUUUAUUUUAUAUUUAAAUUUUUUUGUUUUAAAAUAUUUUAAAACAAAAUUAUGUAUGCUUU